rnacentral:rRNA from 1 species
GACGAACGCUGGCGGCGUGCUUAACACAUGCAAGUCGAACGGAAAGGCCCUGCUUGCAGGGUACUCGAGUGGCGAACGGGUGAGUAACACGUGGGUGAUCUGCCCUGCACUUCGGGAUAAGCCUGGGAAACUGGGUCUAAUACCGGAUAGGAGCCAUAUUUAGUGUGAUGGUUGGAAAGUUUUUUCGGUGUAGGAUGAGCUCGCGGCCUAUCAGCUUGUUGGUGGGGUAAUGGCCUACCAAGGCGGCGACGGGUAGCCGGCCUGAGAGGGUGGACGGCCACAUUGGGACUGAGAGACGGCCCAGACUCCUACGGGAGGCAGCAGUGGGGAAGAUUGCACAAGGGGCGCAAGCCUGAUGCAGCGACGCCGCGUGGGGGAUGACGGCCUUCGGGUUGUAAACUCCUUUCGCUAGGGACGAAGCUUUUUGUGACGGUACCUAGAUAAGAAGCACCGGCUAACUACGUG